rnacentral:rRNA from 1 species
UUAAGCGACUAAGCGUACACGGUGGAUGCCCUGGCAGUCAGAGGCGAUGAAGGACGUGCUAAUCUGCGAUAAGCGUCGGUAAGGUGAUAUGAACCGUUAUAACCGGCGAUUUCCGAAUGGGGAAACCCAGUGUGUUUCGACACACUAUCAUUAACUGAAUCCAUAGGUUAAUGAGGCGAACCGGGGGAACUGAAACAUCUAAGUACCCCGAGGAAAAGAAAUCAACCGAGAUUCCCCCAGUAGCGGCGAGCGAACGGGGAGCAGCCCAGAGCCUGAAUCAGUGUGUGUGUUAGUGGAAGCGUCUGGAAAGGCGCGCGAUACAGGGUGACAGCCCCGUACACAAAAAUGCACAUAUUGUGAGCUCGAUGAGUAGGGCGGGACACGUGGUAUCCUGUCUGAAUAUGGGGGGACCAUCCUCCAAGGCUAAAUACUCCUGACUGACCGAUAGUGAACCAGUACCGUGAGGGAAAGGCGAAAAGAACCCCGGCGAGGGGAGUGAAAAAGAACCUGAAACCGUGUACGUACAAGCAGUGGGAGCACGCUUAGGCGUGUGACUGCGUACCUUUUGUAUAAUGGGUCAGCGACUUAUAUUCUGUAGCAAGGUUAACCGAAUAGGGGAGCCGAAGGGAAACCGAGUCUUAACUGGGCGUUAAGUUGCAGGGUAUAGACCCGAAACCCGGUGAUCUAGCCAUGGGCAGGUUGAAGGUUGGGUAACACUAACUGGAGGACCGAACCGACUAAUGUUGAAAAAUUAGCGGAUGACUUGUGGCUGGGGGUGAAAGGCCAAUCAAACCGGGAGAUAGCUGGUUCUCCCCGAAAGCUAUUUAGGUAGCGCCUCGUGAAUUCAUCUCCGGGGGUAGAGCACUGUUUCGGCAAGGGGGUCAUCCCGACUUACCAACCCGAUGCAAACUGCGAAUACCGGAGAAUGUUAUCACGGGAGACACACGGCGGGUGCUAACGUCCGUCGUGAAGAGGGAAACAACCCAGACCGCCAGCUAAGGUCCCAAAGUCAUGGUUAAGUGGGAAACGAUGUGGGAAGGCCCAGACAGCCAGGAUGUUGGCUUAGAAGCAGCCAUCAUUUAAAGAAAGCGUAAUAGCUCACUGGUCGAGUCGGCCUGCGCGGAAGAUGUAACGGGGCUAAACCAUGCACCGAAGCUGCGGCAGCGACGCUGAUGCGUUGUUGGGUAGGGGAGCGUUCUGUAAGCCUGUGAAGGUGUGCUGUGAGGCAUGCUGGAGGUAUCAGAAGUGCGAAUGCUGACAUAAGUAACGAUAAAGCGGGUGAAAAGCCCGCUCGCCGGAAGACCAAGGGUUCCUGUCCAACGUUAAUCGGGGCAGGGUGAGUCGACCCCUAAGGCGAGGCCGAAAGGCGUAGUCGAUGGGAAACAGGUUAAUAUUCCUGUACUUGGUGUUACUGCGAAGGGGGGACGGAGAAGGCUAUGUUGGCCGGGCGACGGUUGUCCCGGUUUAAGCGUGUAGGCUGGUUUUCCAGGCAAAUCCGGAAAAUCAAGGCUGAGGCGUGAUGACGAGGCACUACGGUGCUGAAGCAACAAAUGCCCUGCUUCCAGGAAAAGCCUCUAAGCAUCAGGUAACAUCAAAUCGUACCCCAAACCGACACAGGUGGUCAGGUAGAGAAUACCAAGGCGCUUGAGAGAACUCGGGUGAAGGAACUAGGCAAAAUGGUGCCGUAACUUCGGGAGAAGGCACGCUGAUAUGUAGGUGAAGCGACUUGCUCGUGGAGCUGAAAUCAGUCGAAGAUACCAGCUGGCUGCAACUGUUUAUUAAAAACACAGCACUGUGCAAACACGAAAGUGGACGUAUACGGUGUGACGCCUGCCCGGUGCCGGAAGGUUAAUUGAUGGGGUUAGCGCAAGCGAAGCUCUUGAUCGAAGCCCCGGUAAACGGCGGCCGUAACUAUAACGGUCCUAAGGUAGCGAAAUUCCUUGUCGGGUAAGUUCCGACCUGCACGAAUGGCGUAAUGAUGGCCAGGCUGUCUCCACCCGAGACUCAGUGAAAUUGAACUCGCUGUGAAGAUGCAGUGUACCCGCGGCAAGACGGAAAGACCCCGUGAACCUUUACUAUAGCUUGACACUGAACAUUGAGCCUUGAUGUGUAGGAUAGGUGGGAGGCUUAGAAGUGUGGACGCCAGUCUGCAUGGAGCCGACCUUGAAAUACCACCCUUUAAUGUUUGAUGUUCUAACGUUGACCCGUAAUCCGGGUUGCGGACAGUGUCUGGUGGGUAGUUUGACUGGGGCGGUCUCCUCCUAAAGAGUAACGGAGGAGCACGAAGGUUGGCUAAUCCUGGUCGGACAUCAGGAGGUUAGUGCAAUGGCAUAAGCCAGCUUGACUGCGAGCGUGACGGCGCGAGCAGGUGCGAAAGCAGGUCAUAGUGAUCCGGUGGUUCUGAAUGGAAGGGCCAUCGCUCAACGGAUAAAAGGUACUCCGGGGAUAACAGGCUGAUACCGCCCAAGAGUUCAUAUCGACGGCGGUGUUUGGCACCUCGAUGUCGGCUCAUCACAUCCUGGGGCUGAAGUAGGUCCCAAGGGUAUGGCUGUUCGCCAUUUAAAGUGGUACGCGAGCUGGGUUUAGAACGUCGUGAGACAGUUCGGUCCCUAUCUGCCGUGGGCGCUGGAGAACUGAGGGGGGCUGCUCCUAGUACGAGAGGACCGGAGUGGACGCAUCACUGGUGUUCGGGUUGUCAUGCCAAUGGCACUGCCCGGUAGCUAAAUGCGGAAGAGAUAAGUGCUGAAAGCAUCUAAGCACGAAACUUGCCCCGAGAUGAGUUCUCCCUGACCCUUUAAGGGUCCUGAAGGAACGUUGAAGACGACGACGUUGAUAGGCCGGGUGUGUAAGCGCAGCGAUGCGUUGAGCUAACCGGUACUAAUGAACCGUGAGGCUUAACCUU